rnacentral:rRNA from 1 species
CCCUAGUAACUGCGAGUGAAGCGGGAAAAGCUCAAAUUUAAAAUCUGGCAGUCUUUGGCUGUCCGAGUUGUAUUCUAGAGAAGCGCUUUCCGUGCCGGACCGUGUACAAGUCUCUUGGAACAGAGCGUCAUAGAGGGUGAGAAUCCCGUCUUUGACACGGACUACCGGUGCUUUGUGAUGCGUUUUCAAAGAGUCGAGUUGUUUGGGAAUGCAGCUCAAAAUGGGUGGUAAAUUCCAUCUAAAGCUAAAUAUUGGCGAGAGACCGAUAGCGAACAAGUACCGUGAGGGAAAGAUGAAAAGCACUUUGGAAAGAGAGUUAAACAGUACGUGAAAUUGCUGAAAGGGAAACGCUUGAAGUCAGUCGCGUCGUUCAGAACUCAGCCUGGCUUUUGCUCGGUGCACUUUCUGAAUGACGGGCCAGCAUCAAUUUUGACUGUCGGAUAAAGGCCAGAGAAAUGUGGCUCCUUUGGGAGUGUUAUAGUCUCUGGUUGCAUACGAUGGUUGGGAUUGAGGAACUCAGCAUGCCUUUAUGGUCGGGGUUCGCCCACGUUCAUGCUUAGGAUGCUGGCGUAAUGGCUUUAAACGACCCGUCUUGAAACACGGACCAAGGAGUCUAACAUGCCUGCGAGUGUUUGGGUGGAAAACCCGAGCGCGCAAUGAAAGUGAAAGUUGGGAUCCCUGUCGUGGGGAGCACUGACGCCCGGACCAGACCUUCUGUGACGGAUCCGCGGUAGAGCAUGUAUGUUGGGACCCGAAAGAUGGUGAACUAUGCCUGAAUAGGGUGAAGCCAGAGGAAACUCUGGUGGAGGCUCGUAGCGAUUCUGACGUGCAAAUCGAUCGUCAAAUUUGGGUAUAGGGGCGAAAGACUA